CCCAAACCGGAUUGGAUGAGACCUCUAAUCCGUAGCAUAUAUAUAAGUUUAAAAUCCAACAUCCUAGUCCAUUUAAAAUCAGACUUCUAUUUUAAAUCUUAGGAUGAAAUCCCAAAUUCCAUUUGAUAAGGUGAGAUCUAUGUUCUAGCUGGUUGUUCAAAAUCUUGAGUCCAACAUCCCAGACCGGAUCAGGUGAGACCUCUGAUCUUGACCAUUUUUUGGAAAUCCCAAAUCCAACAUCCCAAACCGGAUUGGAUGAGACCUCUAAUCCGUAUCAUAUAUAUAUCCAAAAUCAUGAGUCCAACAUCCCAGACCGGAUCAGGUGAGACCUCUGAUCUUGAUCAAUUUUUCGAAAUCCCAAAUCCAACAUCUCAAACCGGAUUGGAUGAGACCUCUAAUCCGUAUCAUAUAUAUAUUGAAAAUCUUGAAUCCAACAUCCCAGACCAGAUCAGGUGAGACCUCUGAUCUUGACCAUUGGUCGAAAUCCCAAAUGCAACAUCCCAAACCGGAUUGGAUGAGACCUCUAAUCCGUAUUAUAUAUAUAAGUUUAAAAUCCAGCGUCCUAGACCAUUUAAAAUCGGACUUCUAUUUUAAAUCUUAGGAUGGAAUCCCAAAUUCCAUUUGGCAAGCCGGACUAGAUUGGACCUCUCAUCUAUCUCUUAUAUUAAAAUUUCAAAUCCCGUCUCAUAUAUUUGAUCACAUGAAACAAAUGGGUGGCUUUUUGAUUUCCUGUAAAUUCUUUUCACAUCCCUUAGGAGUUUUUGAAAUCACUUGAAGAAUAUUACUUUGUCUAGAUAGAUCUUCGAAUCUUCUCAAUUCCUUUUAUUUGAUUUAAAAUAUUUCCUAAAUGCUUGUCAAAUUCUCAAAGUUUUUCAAUGCACUUUUCCAUUUUGAUGUUUGUUGGUUAUAGUGGAUUGAAUGAAUUUUUAAAAUGAUUUUAAGCGUGGUGUAAAGUAGAGGUUCGAGUUUUAAAGUUCAAAAUCCAAUCCAGCAUUUGGGACUGUAGAAAACUAGACCUCCAAUCAGAAGCUUUGGUCUAAAUCCUGCAUGCAACAUCCUAGACCGGAUCAGUGCUGACCUCUGAUUCAAUCAUUAGCUCCGAAUCCCUAAUUCAACUCAUACCAGAUCAGGUUAGACCUCUGAUCUUUUUCUUGGAUGCAAACCCUAAAUCAAACGUCAUUGAACUGAUACAAAAUGUUUAUGAAUCUUUGAAAUCAUUUCCAGUUUUAUAAAUCUUUGAAACCACUCUCUAAGUUUUCCAAAAUUUUGUAAAUUGACUUCAAAUUCUUAUUAUUGAUUUUCUUGGAAUUUUCUCAAUUUCACCAGAGAUCUUCAAUUUUUUUGGAUUUGAUUUCGCACUUCUCUUAAAUCAUUGCUAAAUUCUCAAGUUUGUAAAUGCACCUUUCAACUUUUAGGUUUCUAAAUUCCAUGGGAUUGUAUGUAUACUCAAAGCGAUUUUAAACGUGGUCUAGACUUGGGUUAAUAUUUUAAAAUUCACAUCCACAUUCAAAAUAUACAUUCGACAUCCUAGUCCGGAUAAGGUGAGAUCUAUGUUCUAGCUGGUUGUUCAAAAUCUUAAGUCCAACAUCCCAUACCGGAUCAGGUGAGACCUCUGAUCUUGACCAUUUUUUCGAAAUCCCAAAUCCAACAUCCCAAACCGGAUUGGAUGAGACCUCUAAUCCGUAUCAUAUAUAUAUUCAAAAUCUUGAAUCCAACAUCCCAAACCAGAUCAGGUGAGACCAUUGGUCAAAAUCCCAAAUGCAACAUCCCAAACCGGAUUGGAUGAGACCUUUAAUCCGUAUCAUAUAUAUAAGUUUAAAAUCCAACGUCCUAGACCAUUUAAAAUCAGACUUCUAUUUUAAAUCUUAGGAUGGAAUCUCAAAUUCCAUUUGGCAAGCCGGACUAGAUCGGACCUCUUAUCUAUCUCUUAUAUCAAAAUUUCAUAUCCCGUCUCAUAUAUUUGAUCACAUGAAACAGAUGGGUGGCUUUUUGAUUUCCUGUAAGUUCUUUUCACAUCCCUUAGGAGUUUUUGAAAUCACUUGAAGAAUAUUACUUUGUCUAUAUAGAUCUUCGAAUCUUCUCAAUUCCUUGUAUUUGAUUUAAAAUAUUUCCUAAAUGCUUGUCAAAUUCUCAAAGUUUUUCAAUGCACUUUUCCAUUUUGAUGUUUGUUGGUUAUAGUGGAUUGAAUGAAUUUUUAAAAUGAUUUUUAGCGUGGUGUAAAGUAGAGGUUCGAGUUUUAAAGUUCAAAAUCCAAUCCAGCAUUUGGAUUUGAUUUCACACUUCUCUUAAAUCAUUGCUAAAUUCUCAAGUUUGUAAAUGCACCUUUCAACUUUUAGGUUUCUAAAUUCCAUUGGAUUGUAUGUAUACUCAAAGCGAUUUUAAACAUGGUCUAGACUUGGGUUAAUAUUUUAAAAUUCACAUCCACAUUCAAAAUAUACAUUCGACAUCCUAGACCGCAUAAGGUGAGAUCUGUGUUCUAGCUGGUUGUUCAAAAUCUUGAGUCCAAUAUCCCAGACCAGAUCAGGUGAGACCUAUGAUCUUGACCAUUUUUUCGAAAUCCCAAAUCCAACAUCCCAAACCGGAUUGGAUGAGACCUCUAAUCCGUAUCAUAUAUAUAUUCAAAAUCUUGAAUUCAACAUCCCAAACCAGAUCAGGUGAGACCUCUGAUCUUGACCAUUGAUCAAAAUCCCAAAUGCAACAUCCCAAACCGGAUUGGAUGAGACCUUUAAUCCGUAUCAUAUAUAUAAGUUUAAAAUCCAACGUCCUAGACCAUUUAAAAUCAGACUUCUAUUUUAAAUCUUAGGAUGGAAUCCCAAAUUCCAUUUGGCAAGCCGGACUAGAUCGGACCUCUUAUCUAUCUCUUAUAUCAAAAUUUCAUAUCCCGUCUCAUAUAUUUGAUCACAUGAAACAGAUGGGUGGCUUUUUGAUUUCCUGUAAAUUCUUUUCACAUCCCUUAGGAGUUUUUGAAAUCACUUGAAGAAUAUUACUUUGUCUAUAUAGAUCUUCGAAUCUUCUCAAUUCCUUGUAUUUGAUUUAAAAUAUUUCCUAAAUGCUUGUCAAAUUCUCAAAGUUUUUCAAUGCACUUUUCCAUUUUGAUGUUUGUUGGUUAUAGUGGAUUGAAUGAAUUUUUAAAAUGAUUUUUAGCGUGGUGUAAAGUAGAGGUUCGAGUUUUAAAGUUCAAAAUCCAAUCCAGCAUUUGGAUUUGAUUUCACACUUCUCUUAAAUCAUUGCUAAAUUCUCAAGUUUGUAAAUGCACCUUUCAACUUUUAGGUUUCUAAAUUCCAUUGGAUUGUAUGUAUACUCAAAGCGAUUUUAAACAUGGUCUAGACUUGGGUUAAUAUUUUAAAAUUCACAUCCACAUUCAAAAUAUACAUUCGACAUCCUAGACCGCAUAAGGUGAGAUCUGUGUUCUAGCUGGUUGUUCAAAAUCUUGAGUCCAAUAUCCCAGACCAGAUCAGGUGAGACCUAUGAUCUUGACCAUUUUUUCGAAAUCCCAAAUCCAACAUCCCAAACCGGAUUGGAUGAGACCUCUAAUCCGUAUCAUAUAUAUAUUCAAAAUCUUGAAUCCAACAUCCCAAACCAGAUCAGGUGAGACCUCUGAUCUUGACCAUUGGUCGAAAUCCCAAAUCCAACAUGCCAAAGGGGAUUGGAUGAGACCUCUAAUCCAUAUCAUAUAUAUAAGUUUAAAAUCCAACGUCCUAGACCAUUUAAAAUCAGACUUCUAUUCUAUAGGUUCCAAAGUUGGAUCAUCUAAUAGCUUAGGCGUAUAUGCAGUGUGUAAUGCAGAUUUUUUCUCCAUUUUGCGGUUUAUUUUAUCUGCUUUUGCAGUGUUAUAUAGACUUUCUAACUUUUUCAAAUCAUUGCGCAGAAAACAUAAAUUUCUCUUUCUAAUAACAAGUUAGUGCUUUGCUUUGCAUAUGAAUCAAUUUUGUGCCCAUGGUUGAAUUCUCGUGCAUGCGCACUUCCUCUCCAGUAGAUUUCAUGCAUACAUAAUUUUGGGUUCAAAGCACGUUGGUAGCUUCUCUCGCUUUCCUUCUACUAUCUCGACUCUGCCCAGCUGCGUUCGAGAAUAGAAAGGGGAAAUGAAGAAGAAAGAGUGAUUACCCACCAAAUUAGGACAAACCCCAACACCAACAGGGGGAUUACUUUCGUUACCUUUUUCAUAAAAGUCGGAUCACCCUAACACACACACACACACACACACACACAUAUAUAUAUAUAUGAAGGGUGAUACAAGUGGGGCCUCAUAGUAAGUGGAUCCAGGUCCCCUACUCUUAGUCAUACUAUAUUAUCGUCAUUUACAUUUCAAGACUUCAUAUCAGGGGUACUAUCAGUCACCCUUCCCUCAAACCUUAACGUGUCCUCAAGGUGUUAACUCUGGAAGGCAUUGGUGCACUUGUUGAGUGUUUUCCCAACUGGGAUAGUGUGCGUCAUCUCCUUGCCGCUCCACUAUCUCUUGGACUACAGACUUGCUCUUUGGACUAAACACCCUAAAUGGAAAUAGAGAACGUCUUCUGAGACAUUCUUUCUGCCCUUUCAGGAACACCCUUGGUUUAAUAGUGACAAAAAUGGAGACACUUUUCUUUUCUUAUAAGCGAGAAUGGUAUUUGCUUUGUGGCUUUGGGUUAAACAUAUUUCACACUUAACACAAAAACACAAGCACGUACAGACAGACACACAUACGAGCAAAUAUGAGAAUUAAGUAAAUUGAUUUAAUGCUUCUAAUUGUUUUGAUUGAUUGCUCACAAGGUGUUACAUGCAAAGUUAUUUUUGUUUUGCUUUUAUGAUUUAUGAAUUAUCAUUUUUUUUAAGAUGAAAGAUUUAUGAUGUUACGUCUAUUGGGAUUAUAUUUUUCAGUCUAUUACAUUGGAGUUUUCAGCCUAUUUGUGUUGGAUUUUUUAAUUUAUUGUGCCUUGGCUUUUUGUUGGUUGUUUUGUUUCUGUCCCAUCAGAAACCCUGUCCGUUAGAAACUGAGCUAUGCAUUCUGUCGGUUAGAAACUCUUCCGUUUUUAUUUUUAGAUUUUCUGUGCCUUGUAAUAGUUAAUGCGUUAUGUAUAUUUUUUAUAUUUUUUUAAUGUCUGUGGAAUCCAUGUUUUGUACAUAUCUCUUCGGCUGAAGACAGAUUUUUUAGUGCCAUGUUUUGUUUCUAUAGAAGUGGUUAAUAGUAUAACAUGAUAACUUAAUAAUAGUUAGUAUUUCAUACUUUAUAGACGUGAGAUUCAAUGUUUGAAGAAUAAAUAUUCUGCUGUUGUGCAUAGCUAUUCAUUCCGUGGUAGCAACUGAGCGGAUAGUCAUGUAUCGGGAAAGAUUUGCCGGAAUGUACUCUGCACGUGCCUAUUCACUGGCACAGGUUGGAAAAAAUUACUACUCUAGUUUAAAAUCUUAUUGUUAUGCCCAUAUAUGUCACCUCUUCCAAGAAUCAUAUGUUUUUCAGUUUAAGAAUCACUUGUAUUCCUGGUGGUGGGUUGGGGUACAGAUGUAAAUACAGUAGAUGUAGCUAUUGCCUCAUCCAACUAGUCAGGAACAGGCUGUCAGUCAUAGAUAAAGGAUUCAAUGUACAUAAUUUUAUCAAAUCCAAUUGCUCGAAAGGAUUCAAUGUACAUAAUUUUAUCAGAUCCAAUUGCUUGAUAUAAUUGAUUUUGAAGAUCCACUGGAUUUGAUAAAAUGGUUGUACAAAUGGUAGCGAUUGAUCACUUUUUCCAUAUAAUGAAUUUCUUGAGUAUGAAAAUUCGAAGUUGGGUUCAAGUUGGACAUCAGAUAACAUCUAACGUUUUAUCCAUAGUGGUGGAAAUAGAUGCAGGAAAAUACCAAGAAAAAAAAUUAUUUCAACUGAAUUUCUAUUUCAUCUGUAUGAAUGCAGGUCGCCAUCGAAAUUCCUUGUGCAUUGAUCCAAGCUGUUACAUUUUGGAUUAUCACAUACCCUUCAGUUGGUUAUUACUGGUCUGCUUAUAAGAUCUUAUGGUACAUCUUUUUGCUAUUUUCUAUGCUCAUCUUGGGAUGCUGGUGGUCUCAUUAACUCCAAACGCUCAAAUUGCUGCUAUCCUGCAAUCUGUUUUCAACACAUUACUGACUCUCUUUUCUGGCUUCCUGAUAUCUGGAAAACAAAUUCCAAAGUGGUGGAUAUGGCUAUACUGGAUGACCCCUUCAAAUUGGACUAUCCGUGGACUUUUUACAUCACAGUAUGGUGACAUAGACAAGGUGAUUGACGUAUUUGGAGAAAAGAAGGCAGUUAGUUUGUUCCUGAAAGAUUAUUUUGGCUUUCCGCAUGAUCAGUUGGGCGUUGUGGCAGUUGUUCUCAUCGCAUACGCUGUUGCCUUCGCUUCUUUGUUUGCUUAUUGUAUAUCUAAGCUUAAUUUUCAGAGAAGAUGAUUAGAUUUAUGUUCACUCAAUUUAUCUCAGCUAAUAUAGAACAGCUCGACUGCUUACAUUCU